CGAGGGGGGCAAGUGUUGUUCGGAAUCACUGGGCGUAAAGGGAGCGUAGGCGGAUGUUUAAGUCGGGAGUUUAAAACCGGGGCCCAACCUCGGAGCGGCUCCCGAAACUGGGCAUCUUGAAUAGGUCAGUAGGCUGGUGGAAUUGGAGGUGUAGCGGUGGAAUGCGUAGAGAUCUCCAAGAACACCUAUUGCGAAGGCAGCCAGCUGGGACCAUAUUGACGCUGAGGCUCGAAAGCAUGGGGAGCAAACAGGAUUAGAUACCCUGGUAGUCCAUGCCGUAAACGAUGAACACUAGGUUUUGGGCUCGUCAACGGGUCCAGAGCCGCAGCUAACGCGUUAAGUGUUCCGCCUGGGGAAUACGGUCGCAAGACUGA
rnacentral:rRNA from 1 species